AGCAGCCGCGGUAAUUCCGGCUCCAAUAGCGUAUAUUAAAGUUGUUGCAGUUAAAAAGCUCGUAGUUGAAUUUCGGGAUCAAUUUAUUGGUCGUGCUAUUGUACGUACUGGUAUUAUUGAUUCCUACCUUCUGACGAACCAUGAUGUCAUUAAUUUGGUGUCAUGGGGAAUCAGGACUGUUACUUUGAAAAAAUUAGAGUGUUUAAAGCAGGCUCACGCUUGAAUACAUUAGCAUGGAAUAACGAAAUAGGACGUUUGAUUCUAUUUUGUUGGUUUCUAGGAUCGACGUAAUGAUUAAUAGGGAUAGUUGGGGGCAUUAGUAUUCAAUUGUCAGAGGUGAAAUUCUUGGAUUUAUUGAAGACUAACUACUGCGAAAGCAAUUUGCCAAGGAUGUUUUCAUUAAUCAAGAACGAAAGUUAGGGGAUCGAAGACGAUCAGAUACCGUCGUAGUCUUAACCAUAAACUAUGCCGACUAGGGAUCGGAUGAUGUUAAUUUUUAAUGACUCAUUCGGCGCCUUAC
rnacentral:rRNA from 1 species